ACGCUGGCGGCGUGCUUAACACAUGCCCUUUAAACGAUUAAACCGCCCUCGGGCGGACAUAGAGUGGCGAACGGGUGAGUAACACGUGACCAACCUGCCCCGCGCUCCGGGACAACCGCUGGAAACGGCGGCUAAUACCGGAUACUCCGGGAGGGCCCCAUGGCCCUGCCGGGAAAGCCGAGACGGCGCGGGAUGGGGUCGCGGCCCAUUAGGUAGACGGCGGGGUAACGGCCCACCGUGCCCGCGAUGGGUAGCCGGACUGAGAGGUCGACCGGCCACAUUGGGACUGAGAUACGGCCCACACUCCUACGGGAGGCAGCAGUGGGGAAUUUUGCGCAAUGGGGGAAACCCUGACGCAGCAACGCCGCGUGCGGGACGAAGGCCCUCGGGUUGUAAACCGCUUUCAGCAGGGAAGAUCCAAGACGGUACCUGCAGAAGAAGCUCCGGCUAACUACGUGCCAGCACCCGCGGUAAUACGUAGGGGGCGAGCGUUAUCCGGAUUCAUUGGGCGUAAAGCGCGCGUAGGCGGCCGCCUAAGCGGGACCUCUAACCUCGGGGCUCAACCCCGGGCUCGGGUCCCGGACUGGGCGGCUCGAGUGCGGUAGAGGAGAGCGCAAUUCCCGGUGUAUCGGUGGAAUGCGCAGAUAUCGGGAAGAACACCGAUGGCGAAGGCAGCUUUUUGGGCCGUCACUGACGCUGAGGCGCGAGAGCUGGGGGAGCGAACAGGAUUAGAUACCCUGGUAGUCCCAGCCGUAAACGAUGGGCGCUAGGUGUGGGGGGACGAUCCCUCCGUGCCGCAGCCAACGCAUUAAGCGCCCCGCCUGGGGAGUACGGCCGCAAGGCUAAAACUCAAAGGAAUUGACGGGGGCCCGCACAAGCAGCGGAGCAUGUGGCUUAAUUCGAAGCAACGCGAAGAACCUUACCAGGGCUUGACAUGCCGAUGAAGCCGGGGAGACCCGGUGGCCGAGAGGAGUCGGCGCAGGUGGUGCAUGGCUGUCGUCAGCUCGUGUCGUGAGAUGUUGGGUUAAGUCCCGCAACGAGCGCAACCCCCGCCCCGUGUUGCCAGCAUUCAGUUGGGGACUCGCGGGGGACUGCCGGCGUCAAGCCGGAGGAAGGUGGGGACGACGUCAAGUCAUCAUGCCCCUUAUGCCCUGGGCUGCACACGUGCUACAAUGGCCGGUACAGAGGGUUGCCACCCCGCGAGGGGGAGCGGAUCCCGGAAAGCCGGUCCCAGUUCGGAUCGCAGGCUGCAACCCGCCUGCGUGAAGCCGGAGAAGGUAGUAAUCGCGGAUCAGCACGCCGCGG
rnacentral:rRNA from 1 species